GCACAAGCGGUGGAGCAUGUGGUUUAAUUCGACGCAACGCGAAGAACCUUACCAGGGCUUGACAUCCCCUGACCGCGUAUGAAAGUACGUUUUCACCCUCGGGUGACAGGGAGACAGGUGGUGCAUGGUUGUCGUCAGCUCGUGUCGUGAGAUGUUGGGUUAAGUCCCGCAACGAGCGCAACCCCUACGUUUAGUUGCUAACAGGUGAAGCUGAGCACUCUAGACGAACUGCCGUUGACAAAACGGAGGAAGGUGGGGAUGACGUCAAAUCAUCAUGCCCCUUAUGUUCUGGGCUACACACGUGCUACAAUGGCCGGUACAGACGGACGCAAAGCCGCGAGGUGGAGCAAAUCCUAAAAAGCCGGUCUCAGUUCGGAUUGCAGGCUGCAAUUCGCCUGCAUGAAGUCGGAAUCGCUAGUAAUCGCAGGUCAGCAUACUGCGGUGAAUACGUUCCCGGGCCUU
rnacentral:rRNA from 1 species